GUCACGGGAUUUGUUUUUUCACCACUUAAAAAAUAUAUAAGUCUUCUAUGCAAGUCUUCACGGAAAGGAAGACAAAGUUUCUCCUCUCUUCAAAGUGCUUUCCCUAGAGAAUUUUGGUCUCUUCUCUCUCUCAUCCUCUUCCUUCCAUGGCGUCUUCUUCUUCUUCUCAUAGCCGGAGAUACGACGUUUUCCCAAGCUUUCGUGGAGAAGAUGUCCGUGACUCAUUCCUCAGCCAUCUUCUCAAGGAGCUCAAGCGCAAAACAAUCACAUUCAUAGAUAAUGAGAUCGAGAGGAGCCGCCCAAUCGGCCCUGAGCUUUUAUUGGCAAUAAGAGAAUCGAGGAUCGCAAUCGUUGUCUUCUCUGAGAACUAUGCUUCAUCCACCUGGUGCCUGAAUGAACUGGUUGAGAUUCACAAGUGUUACAUGGAGUUGGAUCUAAUGGUGAUUCCGAUCUUUUUACACGUUGAUCCUUCGGAAGUUAGAAAACAGACCGGUGAAUUUGGCAAAGACUUUCAUAAAACCUGCAAGGGAAAAUCAGAGGAUGCGAUACAAAGUUGGAAGCAAGCUUUAGCCGAUGUUGCAAAUCUUGCCGGAGAGAAUCUUCGGAACUGGCCUAAUGAAGCAGCCAUGAUUGAAAAGGUGACCCACGAUAUCUUGAAAACGAGUAUGACGCCAUCGGAUGAUUUUGGCGACUUCGUGGGGAUUGAAGCUCAUGUAGAGGAAUUGAAUUCGUUGUUGUGCUUGGAAUCUGAGGAGGCUAGAGUGGUCGGAAUUUUAGGAACUUCAGGGAUUGGUAAGACUACUAUUGCAAGAGCUCUAUACAAUCAACUCUCUAGCCACUUCCAUCUUCGGGCUUUUGAAGCUUGUAGGAGAACCAUCGGAGAUGACUAUAGCCAGAAGUUGUAUUGGGAAGAACAACUUCUGUCAAAUAUAUUAGAUGAAAAGGACUUGAAGAUAGAGAAAGUAGGUACGGUGAAAGAAAGGUUGAAGGAGAAGAAAGUUCUUAUCGUUCUUGAUGAUGUUGAUGAUCUAGAGCUACUAAAAACCUUGGUUGGACAAACUGGUUGGUUCGGAUCCGGGAGCAGAGUCAUUGUUAUCACUCAAGAUAGACGAAUUCUGGAGGCUCAUAAGAUUGAACUUAUACAUGAGGUGGAGUUCCCAUCAGAACUUCUUGCUCUUAAGAUAUUUUGCCGAUCUGCUUUUGCGCAAGACACCCCACCCGAUGGUUUUAUGGAACUCGCAGUUGAAGUGGCCAAGCUUGCCGGUAAUCUUCCUUUGGGCCUCAGUGUCAUGGGUUCGUCUUUAAGAGGAAUGAACAAAGAUCAGUGGAUGAUGAUGCUGCCUAUGCUCCGAAAUGAUUUGGACGGGAAAAUUGAGAAAACAUUAAAAGUCAGCUACAAUAGGUUAGAUAGAAAAGAGCGAGACUUAUUUCUUCACAUUGCAUGUCUAUUCAAUGGUGUCCAAGUCUGGUACAUCAAUGACUUGCUCAGAGAUAACACUGACAUUAGGCUUAUAAUGUUGGCUAAAAAAUCCCUCAUACGUAUGACAACACAUCCCGAAACCGAUACUGUAGUGAUGCACAAUUUGCUACAGAAGUUGGGUAGAGAAAUCAUUCGUGGAGAGUCUGAUAGUCCUGAAAGACGUCGAUUUCUGGUGGAUAUUGAGGAUAUCCGAGAUGUACUAGUCGAUAACGAUGAUACGGGCAAGAAAACUGUGCUUGGAAUAUAUCUCGACGCAUCAUAUACCUCUGAAUCAUUUUCAAUAAAUGAUCAAUCGUUCGAAUGCGUGCCCGGUCUCCAAUUUCUAAUAGUUUCUGAUCAUCGCGUGGGGGCAGAAGGAGGCAAAUGGCUAGAUAUGAUUGUAUAUGAAGAUGGACGACUUUAUUAUUCCGGUGAUCACGAUCCCAAAUGGCUGCAGUUGGGGACAAGGGGCAGAUUGGAUCUACCUAAAAGACUCGAUUAUUUGCCCCCUAAACUCAAAUUGCUAAAGUGGAAUAACUGUCCAUUGAAUUGUUUGCCUAAUAGUUUUAAGGCUGCGUAUCUGGUUGAACUCACAUUGGAGAACAGUGACCUUGAGAAGCUGUGGCCGUGGGAAGAAACUCCGCAACUUGGAAGGCUCAAGACGUUGAAUCUGUAUGGUUCUAAACAUCUGAAAGAAAUUCCAGAUCUUUCUAGUGCCAUAAAUCUCGAGAGACUAGUUCUUAUUGAAUGCACUUCUUUGGUGACACUUUCUUCUUCGAUUCACAAUGUAACUAAACUGAAGUACUUAUAUAUGAUGGGUUGCACAAAGCUUCAGACGCUAUGGGAAGGCGUCCAGUCGCUUGGAUGUCUCCUGACGAUGAAUCUGUCAUCAUGUAAAACACUGAAAGAAAUUCCAGAUCUUUCAAAGGCCACCAAUCUGGAGAGUUUGGAACUCAACAAUUGCAAAAGUUUGGUGAAGUUUCCUUCUUCAAUUCAAAAACUCCAAAAUUUGGUGGAGUUGAAAAUGAAAGGAUGCACAAGGCUGGAGGAUCUUUCAACCGGUUCCCUCUUGUCAUCUCUUAAAAUCCUCGAUCUCAGUGAUUGCUCAAGUUUAAGAAGUUUUCCUCUGAUUUCACUUAAUAUCGUAUGUCUCUAUCUAGAAAACACCGGCAUUGAAGAAGUUCCCCCCUGGAUUGAGCAUUUUUCGACGCUCAAAGUACUAAUGAUGUAUUGUUGCAAGAGGUUGAAAUACAUCUCCCCAAACAUUUUCAGCAUGAAAAGUCUAGAUUUCGUUGACUUUACAGACUGUAGAGGUGCCAUCUUGAACUACGCUGAGACCAGUGAGGAAGAUUACCCUUCUGGUAUAUCAUUAUAUGACAACAUUGAAUAUACACCACGACGUAAGCUUUUCCGGCAUGAGACAGGUAGUGGUUGGUACAGUUUGCCCAUACGUGCGGAAUCGUUUAGCUUCCAGAACUGCUUCAAAUGGGAAAGAGAUGAGCGAGAAGGCAUCAUACGACUAAGCACCAAGCCUGUGGCCUUACCAGGUGAAGAAGUGCCAUGGUUUUUCGAACAUCGAGCUGAUGGAGAUUCCAUAACUGUCACUUUACCUCAGAGCACUCUUUCUCAAGAAUUCGUGGAUUUUAAGGCUUGCGUCGUGGUUGAAUUUCCAACCGAGGACGAGGAUUGGCCUUCAUAUUUGGAGGUAAAAAUUGGAUUUAAUGGCAGAACGUAUAGGGAAUCGUUUUUUGAAGGUGGAGCUGCAGACCUGUACUUGUGUAAGACAGAUCAUCUGUUUUCUUUUUCCUUCAAGUUCCGGCCUAAAAAUGUUCCAUCUAAAUCGGCUUUCGACGAUGUGGAGUUUAAGUUUUCUUGCUUCAAUAGGAUAAAAGAAUGCGGUAUCCGACUCAUAAAAGUGUGUCCAAAGCCAGAUGAUAGUGAUUGAAGAGACUGUGAGAAGCAAGAAACGGCUGCCGAUGAAAUCGGGAACAUAUGAAGAAUAUAUCACGCUCGUCUUCUCACUGUAUCACAUUGUGAAGAUGAUGGAGCACUGUCUGAGAACUACAAACCUUUUAUGACUCCAUGUCCGGAGCCUGAGAAUGAUUGUAAUUUCUUCUUUUACAGAUGGCAGAAGCACCCUGUUCUUAUUUCUCUGAUCUCUCUGUUUGCUUCUUUGAAAAUUUCGGUUUUCCUGAAAGAUGUAAAUGUAACAGUCUUGUCGUUUCAAAGACAUAUAUCUCAACGUGUACAUUACCAAAGGUUA